GAAGGUGGGCCAGAGCUUUGAUGAGAACUUAUUAGGUCACAAAUUCUUUCUACCAAUAAGGAUGACAAAAGUGUAAUUUGUCCCGCCUUAACAGGUGCAACAACACUAACAGUGGACUCAAGGAAGAUUUUUUUGCUUCACUUGCAUUGCUCUACCUCCUGCCUACAUGCCCAGUUGGAGACUGCUUGCUGUUGACACAUUGAUUGAAUUGGCAAUUACUCCUGGUUGAACCGCUCGCAGUUGACAUUGCAACACGGGUACUCAGCCCUCUUGAUUCAGUCUACGCUCUGUUGAUUUAGCAGCAACAGCAGGUGUGUGACUGUGCUGCGGUAGACGAGAAGACAAGAAGAUGAUGUGAUGCACAGCAAUGACUGCUUACUGUUGAGAUUAUGUGGCACCCAGCACAGAUGGCUCGCUGGUUUGGAAGCUUAAAUGCCACUCACUCUCAUCUCUGGGACCUUUGUGUUUGGCAACAGGCUCUGGGCUCAGUCUGAGCUAGAGUCGCAUACACUUUGUUUAAACUUCUGUAUAUCACAGACAUGCUGAAAGAUCCAGAACAAUGCUCUCACAACUGCUUGUACAUUAAAGUUUCAUUAUUUGUGUACUGUAUUUCCUGAUUCUAAACCUGAGACUGACAGGAAAUCUAGGGAAAUCUACAAUGAAAAGCACCUUUUGACACUGGAAUUGCAUUGCAUGUGCCUUAUUCUGCUAAUCUUCUAUGCACCACGAGUGUUCAUUUUUCAUGAGAUGUCUUUGAGGUCA